rnacentral:rRNA from 1 species
GGAUUAGAUACCCUGGUAGUCCACGCCCUAAACUAUGUCAACUGGUUGUUGAGAAUUCACUUUCUCAGUAACGAAGCUAACGCGUGAAGUUGACCGCCUGGGGAGUACGGCCGCAAGGUUAAAACUCAAAGGAAUUGACGGGGACCCGCACAAGCGGUGGAUGAUGUGGUUUAAUUCGAUGCAACGCGAAAAACCUUACCCACCUUUGACAUGUACGGAAGAUCGCAGAGACGCGAUUGUGCUCGAAAGAGAGCCGUAACACAGGUGCUGCAUGGCUGUCGUCAGCUCGUGCCG